GACGAACGCUGGCGGCGUGCUUAACACAUGCAAGUCGAACGGAAAGGCCUCUUUCGGGGGGUACUCUAGUGGCGAACGGGUGAGUAACACGUGAGUAACCUGCCCUUGACUUUGGGAUAACUUCAGGAAACUGGGGCUAAUACCGGAUAGGAGCUCCUGCUGCAUGGUGGGGGUUGGAAAGUUUCGGCGGUUGGGGAUGGACUCGCGGCUUAUCAGCUUGUUGGUGGGGUAGUGGCUUACCAAGGCUUUGACGGGUAGCCGGCCUGAGAGGGUGACCGGCCAAAUGGGGACGAAGAGAGGCCCCAGAGACACACGGGGGGAAAUGGGGGGAAGAAUGGCAAAAAGGGGGGGAGCGGGUGAAAGAGACGCGGGGGGUGGGAGAAGGGCCUUUGGGGUGAAAAACGCUUUGGGUUAUGACAAAGCUGUUUGGGAGGGUAGGGGAGAAAAAAGAACGGACUAAUUACGG
rnacentral:rRNA from 1 species